rnacentral:rRNA from 1 species
AUUGAACGCUGGCGGCAUGCCUUACACAUGCAAGUCGAACGGUAACGCGGGGCAACCUGGCGACGAGUGGCGAACGGGUGAGUAAUGCAUCGGAACGUGCCCAGUAGUGGGGGAUAGCCCGGCGAAAGCCGGAUUAAUACCGCACACGACCUACGGGUGAAAGCGGGGGACCGUAAGGCCUCGCGCUAUUGGAGCGGCCGAUGUCAGAUUAGGUUGUUGGUGGGGUAAAAGCCUACCAAGCCGACGAUCUGUAGCUGGUCUGAGAGGACGACCAGGCACACAGGGACUGAGACACAGCCCAGACUCCUACGGGAGGCAGCAGUGGGGAAUUUUGGACAAUGGGGGCAACCCUGAUCCAGCCAUGCCGCGUGCGGGAAGAAGGCCUUCGGGUUGUAAACCGCUUUUGUCAGGGAAGAAACGCUCUGGGCUAAUACCCCGGGGUAAUGACGGUACCUGAAGAAUAAGCACCGGCUAACUACGUGCCAGCCGCCGCGGUAAAAC